rnacentral:lncRNA from 1 species
CCCUGGCAGUUGACAUGGUAAUUUCUUCGCCUCCACUCUUUGGCUCUCUCCACCUCGCUUCAGACCCCCUCCCCCCAAGACACGAGGCACCCUCGGUGCCAGCGAAGGUGCCUCUCGGGUACUGAAGCGACGCUGGGAAGAAUGGGGCCAGAGCGCUCGUUGCCCACACACUUGGCCUCGGGCGAAGUGCGGAUGUCCCCCGCGCAGCCCCAGGAGUGGGGAGUGGGUUAGGAUCCUGGGGGUCCGGGCGUAGCUAUGAACCAGAAGUAGAGGAAGCAACUGCAUCAAAAAACUGGGGCUGGGGAGCGCAGCACGGCGGGAAAGGGGUGGGGUGGACAGCUUGGGUUCUAGAGGAUCGACCGCGGGGCGGUGGCAGAACCUGCGAGCUAGGUGGGCGACUCUCCUCUCAGGAUCAACGGACACGAGGACCUCCGCUCCACCGGAGCGAGGAGGACCUUGGAGUCCCACACUCCGGCCGUCGCCGCCUUCAGCCGCUCAAGACGGUGGACCCGCGGGCGUACAGGAGAUCCCGCGCGCAGGUCUACAGGUGGCAGUAUAGAAGCCAAAUCUGGAGCUUCUAGCAGUGGUUUCUAAAAAAUAAGAGUUGAAUGUACAUGAGUAAGCAAGCACAGGAAUCUGAAAAACCACAGGUAUGUAGGACAAUUAAUCCACCUAUCCGGCUUUAUAAUUAAUGCAUUCCAGUAGUACUAA